AUGGUGGAAGGGAGUCGGUCCGACAACGGCUCUCUGGCAAGAACAACUGACGGCGAGCGGUCGCAGCAGCGGCCCUGCACGCCGCCGGAGCUAGCCGUCGCUCCGGACGCCGUCAUCAACCUAGAGCUCGGCGACCCGACCAUGUACGAGGCGUUCUGGAAGGAGGCCGGGGAGCGCACUGCGGUCGUGAUCCCCGGGUGGCGGGGGAUGAGCUACUUCUCCGACGCCGGGGGGCUCUGCUGGUUCCUCGAGCCGGAAUUCGAGCGCGAGGUGCGCCGCCUCCAUCGCCUCGUCGGCAACGCAGCGGUCGAUGGCUACCACCUCGUGGUCGGUACUGGUGCCACCCAGCUAUCCCAGGCGGCCAUUUACGCGCUGUCUCCCGCCGACGCCAACCAUCCCAUCGGCGUCGUAUCGCCGGCGCCGUACUAUUCGGCGUAUGCGCCACAGACGGACCUCCUGCUCUCGGGGUUCUACCGCUGGGCCGGCGACGCCAACGCCAUGGGCGGUGACAGCCACAUCGAGCUGGUCUGCUCACCAAACAAUCCCGACGGCGCCAUCCGUGAGGCCGUCCUGAGCUCCAAGCCUGGCAAGGCGAUCCACGACCUCGUGUACUACUGGCCGCAGUACACGCCCAUCACCGGCACGGCAGCCCACGACAUCAUGCUCUUCACCAUGUCCAAGAUCACUGGCCACGCCGGCACGAGACUCGGGUGGGCGCUAGUGAAGGACCUGGAGGUGGCGAAGAAGAUGACUUACUUUGUCGAUCGCAGCACCAUCGGCGUGUCUAGGGACUCACAGCUCCGUGCCGCCAAGAUCCUCACCUUGGUCUCUGACGCCUACGAUGACGACAAGGACACAAGGCGGCUCUUUGACUUCGCGCAGCGGUGCAUGGCAGACCGAUGGCAGGCUCUACGCGCCACCGUGGCGUCCACCGGCAUGUUCAGCCUUCCGGAGGAGACAUCGGGCUACUGCACCUUCACAAAGCAAAUCGUGCCAGCUUACCCUGCGUUUGCGUGGUUGCGCUGCGAGAAGGAAAGCGUGGAAAACUGUAGGGAGCUCCUGCGUGGUCAUGGCGUCCUGGCACAGGGCGGCGAGCUGUUCGGGGGAGACGCAAGGUGCGUUAGAGUCAACAUGCUGGAGAGGGAUGGAGUGUUCGAUGUACUCAUACAACGUCUCUCCUCUAUUGAAUGA
rnacentral:rRNA from 1 species